rnacentral:lncRNA from 1 species
CCACUUUGCCCUUCAGAACCCGAUACAGAUUACCUAUGUGACUUGAUCUCUUCAAUUUAGUAUUUGCUUUCUUGGGGCGCAAGGAUUUUGCUGCACCAAGUGGAGGAGGUGGUGGAACAGCUCCAUUUGCCAUUGACAUGGGUGGUGGUGGUGGUGGUGGUGGCAAUGGUACUGAUCCUUUUGAAAGCAUCAUAGGUGGUGGGGGUGGUGGUAUUACUGAUGCAGCUCCUGAUAACUUAGGAAGAGGUGGUGGUGGUGGUGGAAGUUGUGCUCUUGUUGCUACUACCUUUGACUGCAAUGGAACUGGAGGUGGUGGUGGAAGGGAUGCUCCUGUCGCCACUACAUUUGACUGCAAUGGAGCUGGAGGUGGUGGCGGCGGCGGAAUUGGUAUUCC